rnacentral:rRNA from 1 species
CAACAGGGCGUUCGCGGCCCUCGGAGGGUUCUCUCUCGGGUGGUAGGGGUAACACCCGUCACGCGGCGCAAUUUCAUGAAUCCUUUCUUUACAGAGCACCGUUUCGUUCUCCAUUCGGUCGGGUGCAACAUGCCGCUGGAACUUAACAAAACCUUUUUUUGCAUCUAGCAUUACCUGUUCUGAUACAAACAAUCGUUACAACUUUCAACAAUGGAUCUCUUGGCUCUGGCAUCGAUGAAGAACGCAGCGAAAUGCGAUAAGUAGUGUGAAUUGCAGAAUUCAGUGAAUCAUCGAAUCUUUGAACGCACAUUGCGCCCCUUGGUAUUCCAUGGGGCAUGCCUGUUCGAGCGUCAUCUACACCCUCAAGCUCUGCUUGGUGUUGGGCGUCUGUCCCGCCUCUGUGCGUGGACUCGCCCCAAAUGCAUUGGCAGCGGUCCUUGCCUCCUCUCGCGCAGCACAAUUGCGUUUCUUGAGGUGUGCGGCCCGCAUCCACAAAGCAACCAUCGUCUUUGACCUCGGAUCAGGUAGGGAU